rnacentral:rRNA from 1 species
UACGUAGGGUGCAAGCGUUAAUCGGAAUUACUGGGCGUAAAGCGUGCGCAGGCGGCUUUGCAAGACAGAUGUGAAAUCCCCGGGCUCAACCUGGGAACUGCAUUUGUGACUGCAUGGCUGGAGUGCGGCAGAGGGGGAUGGAAUUCCGCGUGUAGCAGUGAAAUGCGUAGAUAUGCGGAGGAACACCGAUGGCGAAGGCAAUCCCCUGGGCCUGCACUGACGCUCAUGCACAAAGCGUGGGGAGCAAACAGG